rnacentral:rRNA from 1 species
UACGUAGGGUGCAAGCGUUGUCCGGAAUUAUUGGGCGUAAAGAGCUCGUAGGCGGUCUGUCGCGUCUGCUGUGAAAACUCAGGGCUUAACCCUGAGCUUGCAGUGGGUACGGGCAGACUAGAGUGCGGUAGGGGAGACUGGAAUUCCUGGUGUAGCGGUGAAAUGCGCAGAUAUCAGGAGGAACACCCGUGGCUAAGGCGGCUCUCUAGUACGGUACUGACGCUGAGACGCGAAAGCGUGGGGAGCGAACAGG